rnacentral:lncRNA from 1 species
AUGAUGUCAAGUUUCCAAGUUUAAACCCUUUAGAUGACUUGCUGUUCAUUUAAAUUCAACACACAGGGACCGGCCCUGUGGCACAGUGGUUAAGUACGUACUUCCGCUUCUUGGUGGCCCGGGGUUCACUGGUUCAGAUCCCGGCUGGUGGACAUGGCACUGCUUGGCACACCAUGCUGUGGUAGGCAUCUCACUUAUAAAGUAGAGGAAGAUGGGCAUGGAUGUUAGCUCAGGGCCAGUCUUCCUCAGCAAAAAGAGGAAGAUUGCCAGUUGUUAGCUCAGGGUUAAUCUUCCUCAAAAAUAAAAUAAAAUAAAAUAAAUUCAACACACAUUUUUGCACACCUGUCAUAUGUCAGGCACUAGGUAAGGCUCCAGAGAUAUGAGUAAAUAAGUCCCAGCUCCUAUAUCACCCGCAGUCGAGCAGGGGAGAUGAGACAUGCAGAAUUAAUUUUGUCUAGAGGCCCCACAAAUAGUGAAACAGAGAAACGUUGCCUGUAAUGUACAAAUAGAAGGAGAGGAGGGAAGGAGAACCUGUGCAUAUCUCCUUCAUCUUCAUGACUUUUCCUCUCCUUUCCUCCCAGAGGGAAUAGAGCACAGAUUCAAUAGGAACAUAAUGAGCUGCAGGGCAGAUGUUUGCCUCUCACAUUUGAGUUCCAGGGUGAGUGGGCAGGGCAUCUGGAAGCUGAGAAGUAGCCUUCCAGACAGGGUGAUUUCUUAAUGCAGGAAUGCAAAACCUGCCCAUAAGUGGCAAAUGCUGCGUUUGAGAUGAUUCCCAGCAGCUCCUCUGCCAAGACUGUCAAGUAACAAGUUGCCUUCACUACUCUCUUCCUACCUCCUUUUCUGAACACUUCUCUGGCCCCUACCCUUUUUUCCCAGGUGGCCUCGACUGGUCCCCACACUGCUCUAGGUUCCUUACCCCGUCAAGGCUCACCUGUCCCCAGACUGCCUCUCAGCAAGGGUGGUUCUGGAUCCUGUGCUGCAGGACUCCAUCCCGAGCUAGAAAGACCAAGAGACCCGCUCAAGGACAUUUGUAUUAUAAGGCAGGAAUGGAUUCCUCCAAAAACCAUGCUAAAGUAGGGGAAUUCAAGAAUGAGAUAUUUUAAUAAAUGCAAAACCAGGCAGCCCCCAACUUAAAUUAAUCCACUGGAGAAUAAAGCAAAUGGAUUUUGGCAGAAAAUAACAUAUGCCCCAAGCCUGCUCCUUGACUUGCUUCUGGACCUCAGCAAGUGUGGUCAAGCGGGGUCCUUGCCUGCAAGGGAGAGAACACUUGCUCCUAGGCGAAGCUGGCCAGAGAGGAAAUGGUGAGUUUCCGCACUAAAAACCUUUUGUGAGGUUAUGGGGUGAUGUUUUGAGCCAGACUUAUUUGAACAAUGAAUAGGGUGUUGGCUGCUUUUAAUGUGCCUUACAGGGAACCUCUAAAAACUGCUUUGCGGCCUGCCUUUGACUGUCUUCCAACUUUAUGAUUCUUUGAAAUAUUUGAAUUGAAUUCAGAAGGUCUCCUGCAAGUGGAGGAGCAGUGACAAUCCUGCAAAGCAAUGACUAUGGACAAGUGUUAAGCGGAACGCUCCUGGAACCACGCUCUGUGACACUCAACUAUGUUCUAUUGCUCAAUCCUCAUAAUCACCCCAAGAGAUACCCCACAGGUCUGUGGCUUUCAGAUCAUUGGCGAGAAACUUCUGGGAGCCAGAGCCGGCUUUCCUUCUGAUGAAGAAACAACUCCAGGAGACUAUCAGAACACUCCCCUAUCCCCUUAUCAUUACAACGUGUGUCUGGGUUUUACCUUCUGCAUACUGAGGAGAGUUGGAAAAAUUAGGAGACCUUUGAAAGAGAUUAGCCUUGAGCUAACAUCUGCUGUCAAUCCUCCUCUUUUCGCUGAGGAAGACUGGCCCUGAGCUAACAUCCUUGCCCAUCUUCCUCUACUUUAUAUGUGGGACGCCAACCACAGCAUGGCUUGACAAGCGGUACAUAGGUCUGCACCAGGAAUCCGAAAAGGUGAACCCCGGGCCGCCAAAGCGGAAUGUGUGAACUUAACUGCUGCGCCACCAGGUUCUUUUCAGGGCUGCCUGCAAAACCCUCAGGGAGUAAAAGCCCCAGAAAGAGGUGGGGGGAGGGGCAGAGUGCAGGGAGAAGGAAGAGAAACUCAUGUUCUUGGCCAGUUCUGUUCCGUACUGUGCAGCGAAACACAAGCAGUGCCUGGAAGUCACUGUGAAAUGCGAUGCCUUUGAGAAGUUCCGUGGAAAGAAUGACAGCAUGACCAACCACUCCCCCACCCCACCUUUUUUCCAGUGGGAGUGAGAAAUAAAUAGACUGACACAUUUUCCAGUCAGGGAGCGAUUCUGGAGAGCAAGUUUACCUUGGCACAGGAGCUCAGGUGGGGCUGUGAGAAACCUUAUCUGUGCUUGCCCGGUAAACAAGGAGCCCUCCAUCUCCCCAGAGCCUUGGCCACCCAGCAGGUGACCACAGGAGGCAGGUGAGCAGGGAGAGCGGCAGGCUGGCCAGAGCCAUCACAGAGCUCAACUGGCCCGGGAGCAGGCUGUGUUAGGUAAAUAUUGCCUGGAUUUGGUUGACAGACUCAUUUACUGAUUGUCUGUUGGUUGCCAAGAGAAAUGCCAUCAAAUUCACCAGAUGCAAAGGUAAGAUUGAUGUCCCUUAAUUUGAUGAUUCUCAAACAGUAAUGUGCAUAUGAUCACUUGGGGAUCUCCUUAAGUAACUUCUGAUUCAGCAGGUUGGGGCAGGGCUGAAAAAUUGCAUUUCUGCAGAGCUGCAGGGUGAUGCCGACGGUGCUUGUCUAUGGACCACACUGCGAGCAAGCGAAAUCUUAAUGUUCAGAUGACUGUGUGCAUUUUACACAGUGGAAAUAGUUACCAUUUAAGGAGCUCGGUAUGACUCUCUGACAGCUGCGGUACCAGGUGUU